ensembl:rRNA 5S_rRNA 5S ribosomal RNA
GCUUGCGGCCACACCGCCUGGUUCACGCCCCCGAUCUCGCUUGAUCUCGGAAGCUAAGAUAGGGUGGGCCUGGUUAGUACUUGGAUGGGAGACCGCCUGGGAAUACCAGGUGUUGUAAUUU